rnacentral:rRNA from 1 species
GACGAACGCUGGCGGCGUGCUUAACACAUGCAAGUCGAACGGAGCGAAUGAAAGCUUGCUUUUAUAAGCUUAGUGGCAAACGGGUGAGUAACACGUAGACAACCUGCCGACAGGAUGGGGACAACAUUCCGAAAGGAAUGCUAAUACCGAAUGAAGUGCAGGGGAGGCAUCUCCCCUGCAUGAAAGAUGGCCUCUUUUUAUGCUAUCACCUGUUGAUGGGUCUGCGUCUGAUUAGCUGGUAGGUGAGGUAACGGCUCACCUAGGCGACGAUCAGUAGCCGGUCUGAGAGGAUGAACGGCCACAUUGGGACUGAGACACGGCCCAGACUCCUACGGGAGGCAGCAGUGGGGAAUCUUCCGCAAUGGGCGCAAGCCUGACGGAGCAACGCCGCGUGAGUGAAGAAGGUCUUCGGAUCGUAAAGCUCUGUUGAUGGGGACGAACGUGCCUAAUGCGAAUAGUUUUAGGCAAUGACGGUACCCAUCGAGGAAGCCACGGCUA